rnacentral:rRNA from 1 species
UACGUAGGGGGCGAGCGUUGUCCGGAUUUAUUGGGCGUAAAGAGCGUGUAGGCGGCCAGGUAGGUCCGUUGUGAAAACUCGAGGCUCAACCUCGAGACGUCGAUGGAAACCAUCUGGCUAGAGUCCGGAAGAGGAGAGUGGAAUUCCUCGGUGUAGCGGUGAAAUGCGCAGAUAUCAGGAAGAACACCUAUGGCGAAGGCAGCUCUCUGGGACGGUACUGACGCUGAGACGCGAAAGCGUGGGGAGCGAACAGG